UCAGGAUGAACGCUAGCGGCAGGCCUAAUACAUGCAAGUCGAACGCUCAGUAGCAAUACUGGGAGUGGCGCACGGGUGCGUAACGCGUACACAAUCUACCUCUAAGCGGGGGACACCUCCUGGAAACGGGGAUUAAUACCGCAUAAUAUGCCGAAGUCGCAUGACUUUGGAUUAAAGCAGCAAUGCACUUAGAGAUGAGUGUGCGUCCCAUUAGGUAGUUGGUGAGGUAACGGCUCACCAAGCCUAUGAUGGGUAGCCGGUCUGAGAGGAUGGUCGGCCACACGGGCACUGAGACACGGGCCCGACUCCUACGGGAGGCAGCAGUAAGGAAUAUUGGUCAAUGGUGGAAACACUGAACCAGCCAUGCCGCGUGGAGGAAUAAGGUCCUACGGAUUGUAAACUCCUUUUGACGAGGAAGAAAAUGUUAGAUUUAUCUAAUUUUGACGGUACUCGUAGAAUAAGCACCGGCUAACUCCGUG
rnacentral:rRNA from 1 species